UCCUGCUCUGCCCGCGGCGCGGGGCAGAGCACCCGGGCGCUCUGCUGCCGGCUCUUGGCGUUGGUUUACUGUGCGAACCGUGCAGCCCCGGUACGCUCACGCCCAUCAGCUCCCGACUUUCGUUCUGGGAGGCGCUGACCGGGUGCCGAGAGGGCGCUGUGUGGAGUGCGACUCCCCCCCCUCCCCAAAGCAGCAUUCGUGCUAAAGUGUGGAGAAUGUACUGUGGGGAGACAAGAAUGGAAGCAAGGAGACAGGUGGCUGUUAAGUUGGUCCAGGUACUGAUUAAGAUGUAUGUGAUUUGGAGGAAUUCUGUUUCCUGUCUAAGGAUAAGAAAGGUGCUACGUAGAUUCCAAAGUGGUAAUCACCCAGUUGUCCCUCUGGGAUCAAGGAUUUUAACGGACCCAGCCAAAGUUUUUGAACACAACAUGUGGGAUCACAUGCAAUGGUCUGAAGAAGAAACAGCAGCAGCCAGAAAAAAAGUAGAGGAAAACUCGGCUGUGCGAGUCCUUCUAGAAGAACAAGUUAAGUAUGAGAAUGAAGCUAGUAAAUAUUGGAACACAUUUUAUAAGAUUCAUAAGAAUAAGUUUUUCAAGGAUCGUAAUUGGCUCUUGAGGGAAUUUCCUGAAAUUAUUCCAGUUGAUCAAAAAACUGAACAGAAGUUGCAAGAAUUAUCAUGGGAUCCUGCAAAAACUAGUGCUGCCGAUGGUUUCUCAAGAACACGCUGCCCUCCUGUGCCUGAAGAAAAAAAUCAUAAUCAGAAAAGGUGUGGCUCAUCAGACAGGCAAAGCCAAGCAGGAUCACAGUUUUCCAGCCUAGACUCUGAAGAACACAGAAAAGGACCUCUGAAAACAGAAUUGUUUCCCGGGAGCAACGCCACUUUCAGAAUCCUAGAGGUUGGCUGUGGAGCUGGAAAUAGUGUUUUUCCAAUUUUGAAUACUUUACGGAAUGCUCCAGAGUCCUUUCUUUAUUGUUGUGAUUUUGCUUCCGGAGCUGUGGAACUAGUAAAGUUGCACUCAUCCUACAGAGCAGCCCAGUGUUGUGCCUUUGUCCAUGACGUCUGUGAUGAGGGCUUACCCUACCCUUUUCCAGAUGGGAUCCUGGAUGUCAUUCUCCUUGUCUUUGUGCUCUCUUCCAUUCAUCCUGACAGGAUGCAAGGCGUUGUAAACCGACUGUCCAAUUUACUGAAACCUGGAGGAAUGCUGUUAUUUCGGGACUAUGGAAGAUAUGAUAAGACUCAGCUUCGUUUUAAAAGGGGGCAUUGCUUAUCUGAAAAUUUUUACGUUCGAGGAGAUGGUACCAGAGCAUAUUUCUUUACAAAAGGGGAAGUCCACAAUAUGUUCUGCAAGGCUGGGUUAGACGAGAAGCAAAAUCUGGUUGAUCGUCGCUUACAAGUGAAUAGGAAAAAACAAGUGAAAAUGCACCGAGUGUGGGUUCAAGGCAAAUUCCAGAAACCAUUACACUUGACUCAAAAAACCUCCAAAUUGAUAUUUUCACUCCUUUCUCAUGGCUGAAUUAUGUACCAUGUUAAGGUACAAACCAGAGGAUUACACUGUACAAAGACUUCCGUAGAUCUUUCAUUUUUGAAAGGACAGUCAGAAGAAAAGAGAAUUUGUAUAUCCUGCUGUUUAUCAUGGAGCCCUUGUGUUUUCCAUCAUGAUGUGUCAAAACGUGUGUAUUUAUUGAUCUUCAAAAACCUGGAAAGAUGAGACACAACUUUAGGAGAAACAUACCCAGAGAAGUACAGGCAGAAAGGGGCAUUGAGCCAGAAGAUUGCCCUCCUUCACCAGUGUGGCAGAGGAAGGUCUGGCUUCUACUUUGCAGAAGGUACAGAUUAGGUAUCAAUAUAGUGUGGUCACCAAGUGAGUGAUUCAUGAUCUGUGAUCCUCUGCAAGAAGAUUAAUGGAAGGCAAAUGAAGAAUACAGGCUAGCAUAGCCUAUGAGACAAGGCUUCAAUGUACAGUCUCUGCCAUUUGGUGAGGUUUGAGAGAGGACCCCAGAGUAAUACCUCUGUGUUCCUGCCCAAACUGUAAACCAGCUGAGAGAAGCUGAUACUGGAGAAAAUGGCUCAGGGGACAUGGGAACAAUUGCCUUCCUACUGCUGAGUCCAAGAAUCAAGACCCACAGCUGAACAGCCGCAGGACUCUGUUCACGGGGGUCGGCCUCUGCAUAGCCUUGUACAGAGUCACCAGUUUCCAAGAGAAAGUGAAGGAGGACUGGGUUAAAUGUGCCUGAUUCAUUUCCCAAAUUCACUUUCUAUGAGGCACUUCUCCUAGGAAUGAAGAGAGCAGGAUUAAAGAGACCAGGUGGGUCCCUCCACAUGACAAGAAACAACAGGAGUGGGCAAUUACCUAAACCAUUUAUGAGUGCUCAGUCAACCCAUGCCACGUUUACUGGGGCUAGAGCAAUGUGGAGUGGACUCUCCUAUGCUCUUUGUGACUUGCUGAGUAGUCUGCUUAGAGAGAGAGACCAGCCAGCAGUAGUUUUUCAGCAUUUACCUAGAAGCCUGGGGUCCAUAGGCAUCUGCCUCAGCGAUGGAUGGAAUCUUCAGGGUAUGCACUGACACAUGUAGAUGGUUGGAAUCCUGGGGACUAAAGUCAAAGUGAGUUUCCAAAGGUAUUUCCAGUGACUUAUUCUGGGAACCUUACCAUACUUAAAUCUUUACUAGACUGCUCAAUAAACGGCCGGGAGGCCUAGCAACUCUGUCAAGCACCAUCUCUAUAUUCACUUGCAUAACGAAUAACUGGCUCUAGACCAACACUUCUCAAACUACCUGAGGUAAAGAUCCAGUUGUUGCUUUUUGUUUUGUUUUGCACAUUUGCAACCUGUCAUAGACCAAUGCUUUACAAAGAUGAAUUACUAGAAAAAAAGAUGUCCUCCAGUUGCUCGCA